rnacentral:rRNA from 1 species
CAGCAGCCCGAGUGGUGGUCGCUUUUAUUGGGCCUAAAGCGUCCGUAGCCGGUCUAGUAAAUCCUUGGAUAAAUCGUACAGCUUAACUGUACGGCUCCCGGGGAGACUGCUAGACUUGGGACUGGGAGAGGUCGGAGGUACUCCAGGGGUAGGGGUGAAAUCUUGUAAUCCUUGGGGGACCACCAGUGGCGAAGGCGUCCGACUAGAACGGGUCCGACGGUAAGGGACGAAGCCCUGGGGCGCGAACCGGAUUAGAUACCCGAGUAGUCC